rnacentral:rRNA from 1 species
UACAGAGGUCUCAAGCGUUGUUCGGAUUCAUUGGGCGUAAAGGGUGCGUAGGCGGCGCGGUAAGUCGGGUGUGAAAUCUUGGAGCUUAACUCCGAAACUGCAUUUGAUACUGGCGUGCUUGAGGACUGGAGAGGAGACUGGAAUUCACGGUGUAGCAGUGAAAUGCGUAGAUAUCGUGAGGAAGACCAGUGGCGAAGGCGGGUCUCUGGACAGUUCCUGACACUGAGGCACGAAGGCCAGGGGAGCAAACGGG